ACAUGCAAGUCGAACGGUAAGGCCCUUCGGGGUACACGAGUGGCGAACGGGUGAGUAACACGUGGGUGAUCUGCCCUGCACUUUGGGAUAAGCCUGGGAAACUGGGUCUAAUACCGAAUACACCCUGCUGGUCGCAUGGCCUGGUGGGGGAAAGCUUUUGCGGUGUGGGAUGGGCCCGCGGCCUAUCAGCUUGUUGGUGGGGUGAUGGCCUACCAAGGCGACGACGGGUAGCCGGCCUGAGAGGGUGUCCGGCCACACUGGGACUGAGAUACGGCCCAGACUCC
rnacentral:rRNA from 2 species